rnacentral:lncRNA from 10 species
GGUGGUGGCUGUAGCGCUUCGGAGAGACUGCCUCCGCCCUUCCCCGGCCUGGAGCCGGAGUCCGAGGGGGCGGCCGGGGGAUCAGAACCCGAGGCUGGGGACAGCGACACCGAGGGGGAGGACAUUUUCACCGGCGCCGCGGUGGUCAGUAAACAUCAGUCUCCAAAGAUAACUACAUCCCUUCUUCCCAUCAACAAUGGCUCCAAAGAAAAUGGGAUCCAUGAAGAACAAGACCAAGAGCCACAGGAUCUCUUUGCAGAUGCCACAGUGGAGCUAUCCUUGGACAGCACACAAAAUAAUCAGAAGAAGUGCUGGGAUUACAGGCGUGAGCCACCACACCCGGCCCUAAGUUGUUUUCUUAAAGACCUGAAGGCAUCCACACAGUAGGCCUGUUAAGGACAAGUCCCAUUUGGAUACCCACCUGACCUGGUAAGCAUUGGAGCUUCUCUGACCCCUGCAAGACAUUCUUUCCCCAGAUGGGCAGGGGUUGCCCAGUGGAGUAGUAGCAGAGGCUGGAAGACAGAAGCAUCUUUGGUGAGUAGCUGGGGACCUUAAUGGCAGACAUGAAAAACUCCACUUGCUGAGAAGCCACCGCCAGCACCCUGGGGACAGCUAGCAUAUGAGGCAGGGCCACCUCCCUUCCAGACCUCGAGGCCUGGAGCUCCUGCCCAUCCUGGCUUCUGCCUGUUGCCCCAGUUCUUGGUCCCUCAGCUCUCUUCACAGUGAACCCCUGUUACUUGAGGGACCCAAGUGUGUCUUUGUUUCUUGAACCCC